AGCUUUUAGAAUUAAAAGUAAUUUCUGCUAAUUGUUUUAAAAAGCCGCUCGGCGCUAAGGUAGCGUAAUCAAAAGUUCGUUAAUUGCGAACCUGUAUGAAAGAAAAUUUCCUGGGUGUCUAUCUAUUCAGCUAAAAGAAAAUUAAGGGGUUAUGAGAUUAUACCCUACCCUGCAAGACGAGAAGACCCUACAAGUUAAUCUGAAAAAGAUUUUUUGGGGAAAAUUUUUAAGGCUUCUCUUAAAUUUAAACUUGAAAUAACACAAAAUAAUAAACUACUUUAGGGAUAACAGCACAAUGUCUAUGUAUAGACCUUAUACAAAUAGAAGUUUGUGACCUCGAUGUUGGAUUUUAAUUCUUUGGGCUGCAGAAAGUUUGAAAGAAUAGACUGUUCGUUUUUUAAAAAUAA
rnacentral:rRNA from 1 species